CCUCUCCCAUCGACUCCAGCCCCGCCGCCAGCGACCCCCUUCUCUCCCUCGACUCCAGCCCGCCGCCGCGGAGACGCGCACCGACCGCGGCCAUCGUCCUCUGCCACCGCCGCCUCCUCCUUCCCCACCCUCCUCUCACCUCCUCUUCGAGGCGUGCCGCGGUCCUUCUCCGCGCCGGCGACGCGUGCAGCAGAGAACGGCGGGCGUGGCGGAGCGGGACCAUGCUGCCGCGGCGGCCGGCUCGUCCCCGACUUCUGCUUCGCCAGAGAAGAAGGCCGAUUCAUGAGAGGAGAGGAGGAGAGAUGCGGCAGGGCGGCGGUCGUUGUCGGCGACGGGGAGGCGUGCUGAACCUGCCGGCUCGACCCAGGAGCGGCAGGUGCAGAGGCGCGUGCGCUACACCCCCACCCCGUGCUGCUCUCCGCCGCCCAGUCAUUGUGCCCGCUGCUCAAACUCCGCCACCCCAUCGGCCGCUCCGACGCCACUCAUGGUAUCCGGGAAGCACGCGGCCAUUGCUCGAUUCUCGCCUAACUAGGUCGCCGCUUCUCCUUGGUGUUCCACAGGAGAGGAGCAUCCGCCUCCACAACUGGAGAGACGCAUCUUCUCCCCUCCUCGACAGCAACACAGGGACGGAACCAUCAGCUGAGAUGGAGGAUGCCGCCCUUUACGGCGCGCUCGCGGUGGCCUGGUUACCAUCUCUUGGAGAGAGGCAGGCCUACCCCUUCUCCCCCACAGGUACCAGCCCGUCCGUGCCAUACCUCUCUCGAUUUUGCUGUUUAUACGCUUCUUUGGGCAGUGAUGUCCACGGCCGAGCAACGAGGUGGUGGUGGUGCUGCUGUUGCUGAAAAUGGUUGUCCUCUAAUAUUAUUCAGAUGUAGUUAGAUUGCUACUGCAUAGAGCUGUUCAAAUGCCAUGUUGUUCUGUUCACAGUACAUUGAAUACACCCUAUAUUCCUAAUCAUAUUAAGCGAUGCCCUGCUGGUCCUCUUCGUGUCUCUUACAGUAGUAUCUCUUUCCAUCUAGCAGCCAAUGAUGUACAAUGGCACAAUUGACAUAAUCUCUAUUUUUCCUCUUACAUUGAAAAUUGUGUUAGCAGUCACACACUUAUGGUCAUGUACUUACUAAUGCUUUGGCCUGAAACUGGAACCACUGCAGCUGUUUUGCUGCCAAUAUAACUUCAUUUGCAUUUAGUUUGUUGUAAUAUUAAUUCAAGUUCUACAGCCUCCCAGGUCUUGUUUUUUAUUUAGUCAAGUUUCCAUCUAAUUGCCUGAAUUAGUCACAUAUGGGAGUGCAGUCUGAAAGUUAGAACAGGGUUUGCAACAAUAGUGUGAUUUAUGUUACUGGAAGUACUGCCAUUGCUUUUGUCGUUUUUCAGGUUUGCUCUCGGUUCUAUUGGCAAGGGAUCUUUGGGCAAUAGUUGAGCACCAAAGGACAAUCUAAAUUACUAUCAUGAUAUUUCAGGUAGUAUUUACUCGAACAUAAUCUUUUUCUGUUCUUCUAUUUUCUCCUUUGUUUUGGUAUAAUGAUGCGUUGAUGCCCACUGUCAUGUAUCCUAUGUUGAGUUGUGGGACUGGAUUAGGGAGAUACCAAAAAUUAGGAUGCCCGAAAUAAAAGCUUUCCCUAUUCGCAAGCUAUUUUUUUUUGCAAAAAUAAUCGUAAGCUAUUUAUACAUUAUAAAUCAUGGCAAGAUUCCAUACUAAUGUUUUUCUCCUUCAAAUGUGAGGUCUCAUGUCUUCCGGCUUACAGUAGAUGAUACAAAGGUCAUUGUUUGCAGCAGAGCGGCUCCGUGGCUAGCGCCGAGGUGCUGCAACCAGGAGCGGAAGCAGUGGUCGGCCAUCACGUCUGACACCCCACUGGAGACCGUUGGACAUCAUGCAAGCCAUGGUGACUGCAAGUUGCUAAUUUUGGGCUCCGUGGGAUUUGAUGAGGUUGCUGCUCCUCUUAAAGAUCGACUUGUGAUGUUGAGAAGAUUACCAUGUUGAAGGAUGGACAAUUAGAGAGGAGUAUUCUCACCAAAGUAAGUGCGUAUGGAAGAAAGAAAACAAGUGAAGAAUGCUUAUGUCAGGUUGAGUUGAGCAAGGCAUGAUGGUCAUAGUUUUUGCAAGGCGUAUCUUCAAUGUUCACAUGUUGUUAUCCUAGGCUUAUGUCGUGUAGCAAAAGAUGGUGGAUUUGGACCUUUAAAACUAAACUAUGUAACAACACAAUGCUCGGAUUUGAAGAUAUCAUGUUGCGCAUUAUAUACCACUCUGCUCUGCUUUUGAUAUCUUGGAUCUAUGUGUUUUUGUUGAACUUGAUGCAAUUAAGCUUUCUUUAGGCAACUACUGUGUUACUUUUGGUACAAAUUGAAUCUCCAUGCUUUGUAUUGAACUUAGGCAUACAUUUAUCUUAUGCAACAACAGUUCCUUGCUUUUGCUAUAACUUUUCUCUGGCUA